UUCUUAUCUAGAGAGGUAGAGGGACUGGCCCUAUGACACCUCAGCAACCAUUAACAUGUUCGUUAAUAAGGUGCUAAUUCCAGCAAAUUGUGAAAAGAUUUGACAGAUAAGAA
rfam:Bacillus cereus Rock3-44 chromosome, whole genome shotgun sequence.